rnacentral:misc_RNA from 1 species
UACGUAGGGUGCAAGCGUUGUCCGGAAUUAUUGGGCGUAAAGAGCUCGUAGGCGGUCCGUCGCGUCGGGAGUGAAAACUCGGGGCUUAACCCUGAGCGUGCUUCCGAUACGGGCGGACUAGAGGUAGGUAGGGGAGAACGGAAUUCCUGGUGUAGCGGUGGAAUGCGCAGAUAUCAGGAGGAACACCGGUGGCGAAGGCGGUUCUCUGGGCCUUACCUGACGCUGAGGAGCGAAAGUGUGGGGAGCGAACAGG